CAGGAUUAACAGAUGACCACUGGUCAUUUCAAGGUCAUUCAUUUGAAGGUCAAGGUCACUGUGACCUUCAAUAUAAAAAAUGUUAAAGUUGUUAUAACUUUGGUAUGCUUGGACCUAGAGUCUUGAAACUUGACAUGAAGGUUGGCCAUAACUAGUUAGUAACCACUGGUCAUUUCAAGGUCAUUCAUUUGAAGGUCAAGGUCACUGUGACCUUGAAUGUAAAAAUGUUAAAGUUCUUAUUUCAUGGUAUAACUUUGGUAUGCUUGGACCUAGAGUCUUCAAACUUGACAUGAAGGUUGGCCAGAACUAGUAAGUAACCACUGGACAUUUCAAGGUCAUUCAUUUGAAGGUCAAGGUCACUGUGACCUUGAAUGUAAAAAUGUUAAAGUUGUUAUAACUUUGGUAUGCUUGGACCUAGAGUCUUGAAACUUGACAUGAAGGUUGGCCAGAACUAGUAAGUAACCACUGGACAUUUCAAGGUCAUUCAUUUGAAGGUCAAGGUCACUGUGACCUUGAAUGUAAAAAUGUUAAAGUUCUUAUUUCAUGUUAUAACUUUGGUAUGCUUGUACCUAGAGUCUUCAAACUUGAAAUAAAGAUUGGCCAGUACUAGAAGAUGACCACUGGUCAUUUCAAUGUCAUUCAUUUGAAGGUCAAGGUCACUGUGACCUUAAAUGUUAAAAUGUUAAAAUUGUUAUAACUUUGGUAUGCUUGGACAUAGAGUCUUCAAACUUGACAUGAAGGUUUGCAAGCACACUUAGAUGACCACUGGUCAUUUCAAGGUCAUUCAUUCUAAGGUCAAGGUCACUGUGACCUUGAAUGUAAAAAUGUCUGGAUUUCUGUGUAGGUAUGUGAAAGCAAAACAAUAAAUAGUAUUAUUUCAUCUAAGUUUAUUUUCUUACAUUUGAUAAUGAAAUUGAUGGAAACUUCAAACAAUAUGUUACUAAUUUGCUAAUAAAAAAAUUGAGAUCAAACUUU